rnacentral:rRNA from 1 species
GACGAACGCUGGCGGCGUGCUUAACACAUGCAAGUCGAACGCUGAAGCUUGGUGCUUGCACUGGGUGGAUGAGUGGCGAACGGGUGAGUAAUACGUGAGUAACCUGCCCUUGACUCUGGGAUAAGCCUGGGAAACUGGGUCUAAUACUGGAUAUGACAUGCCACUGCAUGGUGGUGUGUGGAAAGGGUUUUACUGGUUUUGGAUGGGCUCACGGCCUAUCAGCUUGUUGGUGGGGUAAUGGCCUACCAAGGCGACGACGGGUAGCCGGCCUGAGAGGGUGACCGGCCACACUGGGACUGAGACACGGCCCAGACUCCUACGGGAGGCAGCAGUGGGGAAUAUUGCACAAUGGGCGGAAGCCUGAUGUAGCGACGCCGCGUGAGGGAUGACGGCCUUCGGGUUGUAAACCUCUUUCAGCACGGAAGAAGCGAGAGUGACGGUACGUGCAGAAGAAGCGCCGGCUAACUACGUG